CCAAGUCCUAAAGGGUGUAAAAAGCCUUGUAGAAAACCCAGCUUGUUGUUGCAUAUUAAGAGGAACCCAAGAGAGGUGACAAGGACUUGGUAGGUUGUGUCCCUUGUUGUCCAUGCCACACCAGGCCACUUGGACACAUGUCUAUCUUGUUUGUGGGACACAGAAAGCAGUCCAGUUAUUUCUUUUCCCUUUGCAAUAGGCCAUUAAAUAUUUGAAAGCAGCUAGUAAAUGGGGGAGAAGAAACGGGAAGAAGGACUUCCCACGUCUUGUGGGUUUUUCGCAGCCACACAACAGCCUUGGCUGUUGGACUCCUGAUUCCCUAAACUAUUCCCAGACACUUUUUUGCAGAACUUCUCUCCAGCUUGUUGUUCACCCYCUGUCCAAGCAGGCAGCUUUUUCCACGGCUGCCCUGGAGGGACAUGCGGAUCCAGGAAACCCUUCCCGGCAUGCAGAUGUGCCUGCUCAGCCCUCCCGAGCCAGUGCCCUUCACACGGUACCGGCCACCCGUGGAUAAAAGUGCCCACGGUCCAAGGGGCAGGGAUGCACCCAGCCGGGAACAGAUAACACCGCGAUCRCAGAAAUGUGCCCAAGUGAGUUUCAAGUUACACAUUAACGAGAAAUGAGGAGAGCAGCCCGGGCUGUGACGUUAGACAGCGAUGCAUGAACAGGCAGGGGAAUUUAUAUGGGGAACGCACACGCUGCUCAGCCCACACGAUGGGAAUGACAUCUCCAGGAGCCAGGACAGCCCCGUGCCGGGGUGCUCCUGCACAAGGCAGGGCUGGCAGCUCCAGCACACACUGAUAUCCCCUGGUUCAGCUAAUAAAUCAUUUUCUUUCAUCCCAGGUUUGAGUAGGGACCAAGAACCUGAGGCUAUUGCUACGUGCUGUGACAACAUGGUGGUGGUGAGAUGGGACAGWGCUGUUGCAAGGAGCAGCUCAGCAGGUGUGCCCCUACCUCGAGCAGCCUGAACAGGCCUUCUGCUGGGAGCUCUUCACCGAUCCUGCUGCCCAGUGGGAUGUCCAUGUCCACGUCACGUGGAAAGGUUUGGAGGAGAGAGGCUGCUGGAGGCUUGCUAAUGCUCCCGUCCCUGGACGCUACACGUGACCCCUGG
rnacentral:lncRNA from 1 species